AUACUUGAAUCUUUCCCAUUCCUGAUACUUCACAGUACUAUAUUAUGAGCAGAAUAAAUCUAGACAGGAUACUUCCCAUUUGUCUUUGGGCCCUUCUCUACAGCUCUCCCACAUUU
ensembl:snoRNA